GUCCUAGCCGUAAACGAUGCACAUUAGGCGUGAGGGGUAUCGACCCCUUCGUGCCGACGCAAACGCAUUAAAUGUGCCGCCUGGGGAGUACGGCCGCAAGGUUGAAACUCAAAGGAAUUGACGGGGCCCGCACAAGCGGUGGAGCAUGUGGUUUAAUUCGACGCAACGCGAAGAACCUUACCUGGGCUUGAACUGCCGAAAGUAGAAUUGAUGAAAGUCGAGACGACCUGUCAAAUCAGGAAUCGGUAGAGGUGCUGCAUGGCUGUCGU
rnacentral:rRNA from 1 species